AGGAUGUGUAAUACGGGGUCCGAAUGUAAUGCAGACGAAUGUUGUGUGUCCAACAACCCUCCCCGUGGACGCAGAUUCCUGGACACCCACAGUCACCUUGGACAUUGUGUUCCCAUGGGAACGGACGGGUCUAGUUGUCUUGUGAAAUAUUCACAUCUUACAACAAGACCAGAAGAUGUUGUGUACGCAUGCCCAUGCAGCAAUGGUCUGCAUUGUCAUGGCGAUGGUGUGAACGAAGUUCCACUCGGAGAAAGAGGUCACUGUGCGUCGUGAAAUUGAAGAAAUCCAUUCAAUGGCUGAAGGCCUAGCUUCUUUUUGUUUAAAUAAAUAUGUUACUGU
rnacentral:misc_RNA from 1 species